rnacentral:rRNA from 1 species
UUGAACUGAAGAGUUUGAUCCUGGCUCAGAUUGAACGCUGGCGGCAUGCCUUACACAUGCAAGUCGAACGGCAGCACGGGCUUCGGCCUGGUGGCGAGUGGCGAACGGGUGAGUAAUACAUCGGAACAUGUCCUGUAGUGGGGGAUAGCCCGGCGAAAGCCGGAUUAAUACCGCAUACGAUCCACGGAUGAAAGCGGGGGACCUUCGGGCCUCGCGCUAUAGGGUUGGCCGAUGGCUGAUUAGCUAGUUGGUGGGGUAAAGGCCUACCAAGGCGACGAUCAGUAGCUGGUCUGAGAGGACGACCAGCCA